GAGAAAGUUGGGGUUAUGGGGUUCACGAUAUUGAUGCUUCUUUGAUCUCACAUAUAAACUAAAGAAUUAACCUUUGUUUAGUCCCUAAGGUUUACACAACUCAUCUACUUAGUCCUCAAGGUUUAAAAAACAUCUAUAUAGUCCUUAAGGUUUUGAUUUCUCAUCUAGAAGGUCCAACAGUUACAAAAAACUGUUAAGCUACUGUUUUUUCGUUAACUUUAAAAAGUUUUUUUUUUUUUUUUUUAUUUUUUUUUUAACUUACUUUUAAGUAUGUAGACUAAUCUUCUCCUAAGAACUAGCCUUCAACAUGCCAACACUUCACCUAACGACUUCCUGUCUAAUGGUUACUAAUCAUGACGGAAUCACUGCUGUCUUAGGGUAAACAAGUCUAAACACUUACAAAGUAAAAGGGGAACGUACCACAACGAAAAUAAAAUGCAGAAAUUUUUUUUUUUUUUUACGGAUUAUAGGGCACAAGGUAGAAUUUAUCAACAUAAAUACAAAUACCAAACCCAGAGCCUUGCUCUUAGCUGUUUUGCUUCUCAUACUUGUAAUUAUAAAUACUUACUUGUAAAUUUACAACACACCACACCACACCAGAUGAUUACAGACUUCACUCUAAAAAUACUCUUACUAUUCUAAAGACUGUAUACUAACUCUCGUACUUCUUGAGAAAGGUUGGGAGAUUUCAGAUGUUUGUUUCAGGUUUUCUCUUCGAUGCCUUCCUUCUGAAGUUUGAGGCUGCUUAUAUAGGAGGCGGAACUCAAGCUGGAAUUAAAUCACACUUCUACAUAGUGGGAGACAAGAGGAAUCCUAUCCAAAUAACUUUACUUUUGAAAAAGUAAAGUCGAAAGCUUUAAUGUGCUGGAAGCCACUUUCUUUUUAUCAAAAGAAAAGCUGUUUGUCUUGUUGCGUCGGCAACCACUCAACUUUCCAGCAUAUUCACAAUGUUGUGAUAUGUUUCUGGAUCUUCAGAAUAACCCACUGAGGAGUUGGGACCACUAUAUUCCCAAUCUCGCGCCGUGUCUUCAUCUCCAUUGUCGAGAUCUGAAUCAUACGGAUAAGAAAUCUUAUAUUUUUCAUCAGUCUCAACCUUUUCUAACCACGUAGUGGUGGCCAGAGUGCAAUCCACUUCUUUUCUCAGAAGAGCUGUGAAAAAGUCACAAUUCUCUGGUGGAGGAUGAUUAUAGCAAGUAACCAUUAUUUUUCUCCACUUGCCAAAAGACUUGAAUCAUAGUUUCUUAGCACCACGUCUUUGAUAACAGCUAUAGCCAUAGCCUUCAUCCACCGGAUGCUUUGAUUUGGUCUACGAUUGCCACUUACAACGAUUGUCUUUUGAACUGGACUUUGGAUUAAUCUGACAUGAUGAUAUGGAGAAAUAUAAUUCAUUUGACCAUUUACCACUGUCCAUUCUGGAGGGGUUGAAAUGAAUUUUAACCUUAGGAUGCAUCCAUCAGGUCUGAUAUUUUUGACUGCUUCAGUAAUUAUUGCAGGCAAAUCCUGCAGAUCUUCAUUGGUUUUUGUCCACAAAUUAUGAACAAAACCGUUCUCUACAAGCCUUAGCUUGUGCUUCUGGGGAUGUUCUGCUUGAACAUCAACAAGAUAUCUCCCAUAAUAUGGGCCUGGAACUACUGAUAAAGAUCCUGGAAGAACAUUUUUUCCUUCACUAAGAGGUUAUGAAAGCUGUACCAUUCCGAUUCUUUUAGCGCUAAAAUGGGGAUCUUAGCACUCUCAGGAUUUUCGAGGUAUACAACCUUCGAGGUUUCUGCUAGAAUACCUUUAUCUUUUGCAUGGAAUCCAUGCAUUUCUUCAGUUAAAGCCUUGAGAGUUUGAAGCAAGUGAGCUUCAUUUUCUUCAUAAAAUGAAUACAGAAUAUUAUCAAUAAUAAUCUUCUGCUUGAAGGGUAAAAGUCUUUCCGUUCUGAAUACUGGCUUCUGAAAGAUCUUCAGAGAUUGCUCAUGGAUGACCUUCUUUCCUGUGACUAUCGGUAUCUUAUUUGCCCUAAGAGGGUCUCUUCU
rnacentral:lncRNA from 1 species